AUGGUAGAGCAUUAUCUUUCUAAUUCAAAUUCAAAGCUAACAAUCACAACAGAAUAUAACUAUCACUAUGGCAACUGUUACGAAGAUGAAUCCCUCCUUUCUCAAAGUCGAUACGCAAGUUAUUUGCUGCCUUCCCAUAUUCCUCUGGUAGGUAGGGCACCUUCACUCUCAGCGUUUAGUACCGCAUUUUAUAAAGUAGUAUAUGUGUUCAGGUACUGCAGAAAAUCACAGAAAAUGAAUGUUACCGUUCUGGUUUGGUCAUUUCACUCUGCUCUCUCCCUUUUCACAGAUGCCAUUUAUGUUAUAGACCUUACUUGA
rnacentral:rRNA from 1 species